rnacentral:lncRNA from 1 species
UUUUGUAUUUUUAGUAGAGGUGGGGUUUCGCCAUGUUGGCCAAGCUGGUCUCAAACUCCUGACCUCAGGUGAGCUGACUGCCUCGGCCUCCCAAAGUGCUGGGAUUACAGGCAUGAGCCACCAAGCCCAGACACUCUGGUGUCUCUUGAUUACAAUCAACAACCUUCCCUUGACCCACACUGUCCUCCUGCCAUAGCCCUGUUUCUGGCUGUCUUUAAGAACUUAGAAACAUUAUUUUCAGUGGCUAUCUCCACUUCCUUGCCUUCAAUUCCCACAUACCAUUGAAAUUGAUCUUUAAAAGGUCACCAAUAACUUUGUGAACCCUGAAAGAGCCAAUCCUUCUUGAUGGAUCCCAAGUUACUAACUGGGCCUAAAUUCAAAGUAGGACCUAGCAGCCAUUUGCUGACUAGGGUCACACACACAUUCUGCGUUCCUGGAAAGCCCCCACUCUCACUUAACUCUGGGAUGGUUUCACAGCUAUCUGUUCCUGUUUAUGCCGCCAGAAUCAACCCAUCGACUGUGACCUGCAUCGACCAAUCUGAACUCAGCAAGUAUUAACCAAUCAGAACUAAGCAAGUGUGCCUUCCUCAUUUGCAUAAGUGGACCAAAGUGGGAACCUGGGCAGGAAGUUCUCUACAAAAGACGACCUCUUUCUUUGUUCUCUUUGUUCCCUGGAAUGCACCUUUGUACAGAAGGCUGCAUUGCCCUGGUUUACAAACUGCUGGAACAAAGUUUUUUUCCUUUUUUAAAAAGAAAACCUGGGCCAGGUGUGGUGGCUCACGCCUUUAAUCCCAGCACUUUGGGAGGCCGAGGCAGGUGGAUCACGAGGCACGCGGAUCAUGAGGUCAGGAGUUCGAGAUCAGCCUGGCCAGCAUAGUGAAACCCCGUCUCUUUUCAAAAAUACAAAAAUUAGGCUAGGUGCGGUGGCUCACGCCUGUAAUCCCAACACUUUGGGAGGCUGAGGCGAGAGGAUCACCUGAUGUCUGGAGAUCCAUACCAGCCUGGCCAACAUGGAGAAACCCCAUCUCUACUAAAAGUACAAAAUUAGCCGGGCGUGGUGGCACAUGCCUGUAAUCCCAGCUACUCGGGAGGCUG